rnacentral:rRNA from 1 species
UACGAACCGAGCGAACGUUGUCGACGACACUGGGCUUAAAGGGCGCGUAGGCGGGUGCUCAAGUCCGGGGUAAAUCCCACAGCUCAACUGUGGAACUGCCUCGGAUACUGGGCGUCUCGAGUGUGGUAGGGGUAUGCGGAACUAUCGGUGGAGCGGUGAAAUGCGUUGAUAUCGAUAGGAACUCCGGUGGCGAAGGCGGCAUACUGGACCACCACUGACGCUGAUGCGCGAAAGCCAGGGGAGCAAACGGG